CCCAAUACUCGUUUGAUUUCCCUCCAUCUUUCUUCUCUCGCACACAUUUGCGCUCACCGUGAAGAAAUUCCAGAGCCUCACAGCAGCUCUGUGAGCUCUCCUCACCUUUUGGGAGGAAAAAGUGGCAUUCCUCCUUCGACAUUUAUCACUUUGUUAGACGUCGCAGUGCUUUAUUGGAUGUUACUGCAAAUUGACGGACAAUUGGCGGAUUCCGAGGGCGAAAUAUUGGGAAAUCUCAAGUGCGCUGCAUUGUGUAUCUAAGUGAAAAUGUUUUAAAAUUCCACCCAGUGAAGCUCGCAGACAUUAUUUGGUUGAAUUAAACAGUGUAUAGAAUAUAUUUAGAAGGUUGUAAACUUGAGGUUCCAGUUUGGGGGACAAGUGAAAAUCCACAGUACCUGUUUCGAGGCAUUAUGAAACAGAGGCCAUCGUGAAGGAAUUUUCAUUGCAGUUUUGCCAGAAAACGGCUGAACGGAUGGAUUGAGCAUCGGUGGUAUUUGAUUGGUGAAAAUGAUGGAAAAAUUCAGUGCUGCGGGGAAGUGUUGAAUCAUGUGGCAAUAGGAGAAGUGUUUUAACGAAAAAAUUAUCGACUUUCACGGCAUUAAUUUAAAUUGUGCACUUGCAAGUGUUAUUUAUUGCACAUUUUUUCUCCAAUAACUCGUGGUGAAGUGUGUAAGGAAGAGCACAGAGAGUGUUGUGUUGUGGUUCAUCCUCAUGUAAGCCGACAAGCUUUAACUCAACUGUGCUUCUAACGUGUGCGAGUGAGGAGCUGAAAUGGCGAUUAAUUUAGCAUCGAAAUCUAUAUUGAACAAUGUUUGGAAAUUGCUGAAUGCAUUUCUGCUGCUACUGCUGUUGGAUAGGCCAGUGAAUGGACAUGUGGCUCUGACAUUCCCGCCAGCGAGGAAGUAUGAUUUGGACUUCUUGGACAACUCACGGACGAAGGGACCCUGCGGAAUGCCAAAAGGUGAUCUGAGGACAUCUCUGCUAUCAGGCUCAACGUUCAAUGUCACAUGGCACUUGGCAUAUCCUCAUCGGGGUGGAUUUCAAAUUCAAUUGCUUGAUGAACUGGAGAGACCUGUUCUGGAUCUGACGCCAUCGGUGAAUGGAUCGAAGUUUGUCUCGACGGAUGCCACAAUUCAGCAAUUCCAGGUGCGCCUGCCAUCGGAUUAUGUUUGCCAGAACUGCUCAAUAAGGCUACUGAGACAGGCGAAUGAGUGGGUGGAUUGGUAUCGCUUCUGGUCGUGUGCAGAUGUGGACAUCGUGCCGCGAAAGGACUUCAAGGAGACGUGCUCUGGCCAUGGCAAGCACUUCCCUGGCAGGUGCAAGUGCGAUAAGUUCUACUAUGGCGACCGAUGUCAAUACAAGGAUGAAUGUCUUGUGGAUCAGGACUGUGGAAAUCAGGGCAAGUGCAUAGAUUUGGAAGGAACAUCGUUGCCCAGGAAGCAGUGUUACUGCAAUUUUGGAUGGUUCGGUCCGGGAUGCAAUAAGAAGUCUCCGAUAAAAGUGCUGGAUCUUGAUUAUUCUUUGUACCAGACGAAAGAAUUGUCUAAGGAUUACCGCAUACAUUGGCGUGUGCUGAAGGAGCAAAAGGAGCUCGAGGUGAUCAUCAAAGUUAAUGGCACAUCCUGGGUGGGACUAGGAUGGAGACCACGAGAUCUGACAGCUGAAUGCCGCAAUUUCCCGAAAAUUGGAGACAAAUUUGAGGCAGAGCCUAGGAGCGAGAGUGAACCAGAGCCCAAGAGCGAGAGUGAGCCAGAGCCCAAGAGCGAGAGUGAACCGGAGCCCAAGAGUGAGAGUGAGCCAGAGCCGAAGAGUGAGAGCGAACCAGAGCCUAAGAGCGAGAGCGAACCGGAGCCCAAGAGCGAGAGUGAACCAGAACCCAAGAGUGAGAGUGAACCAGAGCCAGAAAUCAAAACUCCUUCAGUGGUGUCGUCAAAAUCUAAGCGAGUGGUGGCGAAUGAUGAAACAACCAAUAAGGAGGGUAUCACCUUGUCCACCAGUGUGUCCUAUCGCGUUAGUUCAAAGUCGGGCAGACGAAAGAGGGCAACAGCAAAUCCAGAACCUGAGCCAGGGACAUCAACCCCAGAACCUGAAGGAGAAAGCUCAGCAGAACCCGAGACUUCGUCAGAACCAAGCUCCACCGCGGAACCUAACCCAACCGUGGAGCCUAGCUCCGCCGCGGAGCCUAAACCAGCCGUAGAACCUAGCCCAACGGGAGAACCAAGUUCCGCUGCGGAACCUAAGCCAGCCGUAGAACCUAGCCCAGAAGGGGAGCCAAGCUCGGCCGCGGAACCUAAACCAGCCGUGGAACCUAGUCCAGAAGGGGAGCCAAGUUCCGCUGCCGAGCCUAAGCCAGUCGUGGAACCUAGCCCAGCUGGGGAGCCUAACUCCGCCUCGGAACCUAGCCCAUCUGGGGAACCUAGUUCUGCCUCAGAACCAAGCCCAGCGGUAGAACCCAGCUCCGCGGCAAAGGUAGUUCCUAGCGUUGGCGCAGCCGGUGGUGGAAAACCAAAGGAUAAAGGGAAACCCAAGCUGGAUAAGUGGACUCCUACCCAGGACUUUAAGGGCAUGGACUGCACGGAUAUUAUCAUUGGAAGUGCACGUGGAAAUGCCUCUAGAGUCCUUGACUACUACACUAGAGAUCGCUCAACUCCUCGCCUGGACAGCUUUUGGGGUGGGAAGUUCGAUCUAACCGCCGCUACAGGAUUCGAACAGGACGGCGUUACGACAAUCGCUUUCAGGAGGAAAUUGGCGGCCAAUGAGCCAUCCGAUCACACGAUUGUGGAUGAUCUGAUGAGUGUGAUCUGGGCGAGAGGUCAGGAGCCUGGACGAUACGUUCACAGUCCGCUGUCUGGUCUGGAGACUGAGAUGGCGUCUGUGCCUGACUUUUACAAACCCGAUGAAUUGAAGUACCACGGCGGAAAGAUGCAACGAGGAUUGGCGUCUAUCAAUUUCCUGGAAGUGCCCAAGAAGGAGAAGUCUGUGGAUAAAUCCUCGCAGUUGUUAGAUAACGAUUGUCGGGGUCACUGGCGUUAUCCUCACAAUUGCUCCCCGCAGAAUCACAGCUGUGAGUACUAUGCCAGGUGGGAGACUGUCGGCAGGGGCGAUGAGAUGAGAUUCCACAUCGAAACGAGUCACACAGACACGUGGACUGGUGUGGGCUUCAGUGAGGAUGAUAAGAUGCCGCAGACGGACGCGAUCAUUGGAUGGGUGGAUAAGACGGGAAGACCAUUCCUCAUGGAUAUGUGGAUUGUGGGGAAACAGAGCCCAAUCCUGGACUCAUUGCCAUAUCGACAGGACAUCUACAACACCUCUGGAAGGAUUGAGAAUGGCGUAACCAUUCUGGAGUUUACAAGGAAGCGCAUCAGCGAUGAUGCCCAUGAUUUGUCCUUCACCGAUGAUCACUGUCUGUAUCUCAUGUUCCCUAUCGUGGGCGGGAGUUUCAAUGCGGUGAACAAGAAGAUACGACGUCAUGAGCAGACGCCUGUCGUCACGGACACGAAGGUGUGCAUUAAGUCGUGUGGAAAGGAGUUGGAAGCCCUUUACAAUGUGCCACCGACAAGUCCUCCGGAUCGUUUGGUUUAUGCUGUGGGCGUGAAGCUGCAGAAUCUCGCGGAAUCGUUCGAGACACCGCCAAAGGGAAGCCCAGAAUUUGAUACGCUGGCAAAUACGAUUAAGGACUCAUUCAGUGGAGUUCUGCAGAACAUUCCUGGAUACUACAUGACGGACGUGAAGGAGUUUGAGAGGACGAGUGACAGUGUCGUGGCAAAGAUGAACGUCCUGUUUGAUAAGGCAGCUUAUGAGAAGGGCAGAAAUCUGGAGCUCAGGAGUAAUUUCUUGGAUGAUUCUGAGUCUGAGGAGGAGAUGAAGGAGGGAAAACUGGUGAAGAGAGCACUCCUUGAUAGUGUGACGACGGGAAAAGUGGGAUCACUGUCUGUGGAUCCCAAUUAUCUGGACUUUGAGCCUGUUGAAUAUAUAACCAAUCGCGAAGAGGAGAAGGGCUCAUCCUUCUUCCAGCUGUCGGAGACCAGGCUGUACACAGUGCUGGGCUGCAUCCUGGCGCUCAUCAUUGUCGCCCUGCUGCAGGUGACUUGCACAAUCUACAAGACAUCGAGGAAGAAGCACAGUCAGAAGCUUAUUUAUGCGAUCCCUGUGGAGUACAGGAUGUACCAUCCGACGACGAGCAGUUUGUAAUAUGAACAUGAUGUUAGGAUGAACAGAGUAGUGAAGACAAGAGACGCUAGAAUGCUAAAGACAGACUUCCUCUUCACACUUCUCUUCGACCAAUAAAUAACCACUUGUGACUGACCAACGCAAACAUGUUACUUGAGCAACAAGAAUAUGUCUUAGAGAUCACAUGUAGAUGUAGCUUAUGUUGUAGUCAGUAGGAUAUCUACUGUUUUUUUUCUACUCUGAUUGUAUAAUAAUUGUAUUGAUGUGUAAAUUGUCCUUGUUGAAUUAUAUAAAAAGUGAGUAUUAUCUCUACUAUGUAAUACGCCAGUUACCAUUUUAUUUGUUAAGUUGAUGCUAGAGUGUGAACAAGUGUUUGAUUAGAGGAGAGCCAGACUUUUUAGUGGGUAUUUGCCAAACAUGGGCGUUUUCUUCUGACCGAUCCGGACCACCAUCCGGAAAGACACAGCCUCAGAUUUUAGAAACUUGGAUCAAUUGAUUCCCAAUUCGGCAUGGAAGGAUUACUCGUCGAAUACCAAUUAUGCCUUCGAUGCAUUUGGCGAGACGGAGGAGAAGAACGGAAAGACCAGGAGCAG